rnacentral:lncRNA from 1 species
CAUACUUGCCCUCAAGUAUGAAGUGAAGAAAAGACUCAAUAGUAGAAACAAUUAUCUAGACACGACCUUCCCCCCGACUCAACACACAAACACACGGAAAGGAAAAAGAAAUAUGGAAGAUAAGAAGUGAGACACGAAAACACAACAGCCAAGUAAAUGCCAACUGCUAGCUUGUAACUUAUACUGCCAAGAUGAACUAAGUAAUUCAUAAAUAACUCUCAACCUUCAAAAUGAAAAAUUAGAAUCUCAAGAAUGCAUCUCUAUCAUCAAAUUAGUCAAAAUCAGGCAAUAGCAAGUACAGCUCACGACUUCACUCAUUCGCUCAAAUUGCAAUUAAGGACAUUCACACAUACAAGAAAAGAUCCACUCAGUCAUGAUAUGUCGCGGUCAAAUAGUGACUCAAAAAGGACUUUGUUCAUUUGGCGUAAUGGGGCUAGGGACCAUUCAUAAGAUUGGAAGGAUCUAAAGGGGUUCCUAGGCUCAAGCAAUGAAAAUCAAAGUGUGCACAUCUAAUCCAAACCAUCAUCCACAAUUUCAAGUUCAUAGAGAAAGAAAGCAACCAAACUUAGGGGAAAAACUCCAACAAUAACAAUGAUACUACAUGCUCAACUCAAACUGGUGCAACAUCUUUUCUCUUUUCUUUUCUUUUCUUUUUUUUCGUAUUUUUUUUUCUCUUUUUUUCUUUUUCUAGCAGCACCCUUCUUUUUUUAAUAUCUCCAAUCAACAUGCAAUCAUCAUCUACAAAAUAUCCCCAC